rnacentral:rRNA from 1 species
GACGAACGCUGGCGGCGUGCUUAACACAUGCAAGUCGAACGGUGAAAGCGGAGCUUGCUCCGCUGAAUCAGUGGCGAACGGGUGAGUAACACGUGGGCAACCUGCCCCUCACUUCGGGAUAACUCCGGGAGACCGGGGCCAAUACCGGAUAUGACCUCCUUGGGCAUCCUUGGAGGUGGAAAGUUUUUCGGUGAGGGAUGGGCCCGCGGCCUAUCAGCUUGUUGGUGAGGUAGUGGCUCACCAAGGCGACGACGGGUAGCCGGCCUGAGAGGGCGACCGGCCACACUGGGACUGAGACACGGCCCAGACUCCUACGGGAGGCAGCAGUGGGGAAUAUUGCGCAAUGGGCGAAAGCCUGACGCAGCAACGCCGCGUGCGGGAUGACGGCCUUCGGGUUGUAAAGCUCUUUCGUCCGGGACGAUAAUGACGGUACCGGAAGAAGAAGCCCCGGCUAACUUCGUGCCAGCCGCCGCGGUAA